UGCGCAGGCGGAAUAUUAAGUCAGUGGUGAAAGCCUACAGCUCAACUGUAGAACUGCCAUUGAAACUGAUAUUCUUGAGUAUAGUUGUAGUGGGCGGAAUAUAUCAUGUAGCGGUGAAAUGCUUAGAUAUGACAUAGAACACCGAUCGCGAAGGCAGCUCACUAAACUAUAACUGACGCUCAGGCACGAAAGCGUGGGGAGCAAACAGGAUUAGAUACCCUGGUAGUCC
rnacentral:rRNA from 1 species